GUUUGAGAGUCGAUCAAAAUGGAUUACGUGUGGGAGCACAGAAAGUAUUUUUCCCCAAGAGUUGAUGGUGUGACUACAACAGCACCCCUUUACAACGUGAAAAUGCUCGUGAGGUGUUUUUCUGACACCCCUGGAGAUGAAAGAAAGUCAUACACAUCUGGGAUGUCAUGCUGCUAAGUUGCUGUUCAUCUCCGUGACGAGGGUUGUGGACGGGAGUGCUGACAUGGGUCCUCUCGCUCUGUCUCCUGCCGGUCUCCGCCGCAUGGGAAGGUCACACUCCGCUUUCGGUUCAAACAGAAUCUGCGCAACACUGACGCG